UACAGAGGGUGCAAGCGUUGUUCGGAAUUAUUGGGCGUAAAGCGCGUGUAGGCGGCUUUGCAAGUCGGGUGUGAAAGCCCUCAGCUCAACUGAGGAAGUGCGCCCGAAACUGCAGAGCUUGAGUACCGGAGAGGAUGGCGGAAUUCCCCAAGUAGAGGUGAAAUUCGUAGAUAUGGGGGAGGAACACCGGUGGCGAAGGCGGCCAUCUGGACGGAUACUGACGCUGAGACGCGAAAAGCGUGGGUAGCAAACGAGGA
rnacentral:rRNA from 1 species